CAAACCGCGAUGAAAUUUCAACCUGCCCAACACGAUUACUGGUCCACCUAGAAAUGCCGUGGAGCGAUUUAAGAGCCUCGGAAAUUUCCUUUAAGGUCAGGAGAGAAGCUGGUAACAGAUGGGGCGAAGGAGGAAAAGUUCUUUUUGCGGCACCCUCACGCCUUCCCAGCCCUUUCGCGGUUUACUCGCUCCCCGGAAAGCAGACUAGUCUCACUCUGUUGCCCAGGCUGGAGUGCAGUGGCGCGAUCUCAGCUUACUUCAGCCUCCGCCUCCCGGUUUCAAGUGAAUUCUCCAGCCUCAACUUCACAAGUAGCUGGGAUUACAGGGCAUUCAAGCAGCCCUGAGGAGAGGUCCACAUGGUGAGCCACUGAGGGCCUUGCCAAGAGCCAGCACCAACGGUCCAGGUUUGGAGUGUACCACCUUGGAAGUGAAUCUUCCAGUCCAGUCAAGCCUUCAGAUGACUUCAGAACCGUCCAUGUAAGCCACUCUUGGAUUCCUGACCCACAGAAACUGUUGGAGACAGACAAACAUGUGCCUCCUGAUUGAAAAAACAGAACAUCACCUGUAGUCUUGCCAGUGAGAUCAAACUGAAGUCCAAUUAACCUCUGGAUCCAGCUGCCAAUUUGCAGGAAAUAGAGGAGAGAAGCAUCUGUUGAACUGCACCAUGAGUAUACACUCAGCAAAGGCCAAACUGUGGAAAAUGAUACAGGUCAAACAGCCUGGAUUCUUUAACAGUAAGUGAUGUUUCUGAAGCACCAAUGAAAAUGAAGUCCUGAAGUCCUGUGCUCAAUAUGAAAUGUUGGAAGUUAGAAGAAAAAAACAAAACUUGGAUCCAAUCUCAAGGCACUUUUUGUUUAAUGGGAAGAAGUGGAUUAUUUUAAAAGCUACAAAUAAAGUUACAUAAAAGUAGCAAA
rnacentral:lncRNA from 1 species